CCUACGGGAGGCAGCAGUGAGGAAUAUUGGUCAAUGGGCGCGAGCCUGAACCAGCCAAGUAGCGUGAAGGAUGACUGCCCUACGGGUUGUAAACUUCUUUUAUAUGGGAAUAAAAUGUUCCACGUGUGGGAUUUUGUAUGUACCAUAUGAAUAAGGAUCGGCUAACUCCGUGCCAGCAGCCGCGGUAAUACGGAGGAUCCGAGCGUUAUCCGGAUUUAUUGGGUUUAAAGGGAGCGUAGAUGGAUUGUUAAGUCAGUUGUGAAAGUUUGCGGCUCAACCGUAAAAUUGCAAUUGAGACUGGCAGUCUUGAGUACAGUAGAGGUAGGCGGAAUUCGUGGUGUAGCGGUGAAAUGCUUAGAUAUCACGAAGAACUCCGAUUGCGAAGGCAGCUCACUGGACUGCAACUGACACUGAGGCUCGAAAGUGUGGGUAUCAAACAGGAUUAGAUACCCGUGUAGUC
rnacentral:rRNA from 1 species